UUGAUAGCUUUGGAGACUGAAGUCCUUUCUAUCCACAGUACAGGUACAAAGUAACCUUACCCAUGCUGUCCUACCAAUGUGCUUCAAACCCACGGCACCUUCUCUCUAGCGGUGGGAGGGAUAGCUCAUUCUCCAGGCCAAUUUUAAUUCUUCUUCCCU
rnacentral:sRNA from 1 species